GACGAACGCUGGCGGCGUGCUUAACACAUGCAAGUCGAACGGAAAGGCCCUGCUUUUGUGGGGUGCUCGAGUGGCGAACGGGUGAGUAACACGUGAGUAACCUGCCCUUGACUUUGGGAUAACUUCAGGAAACUGGGGCUAAUACCGGAUAGGAGCUCCUGCUGCAUGGUGGGGGUUGGAAAGUUUCGGCGGUUGGGGAUGGACUCGCGGUUUAUCAGCUUGUUGGUGGGGUAGUGGCUUACCAAGGCUUUGACGGGUAGCCGGCCUGAGAGGGUGACCGGCAACAUUGGGACUGGGAUACGGCCCAGACUCCUACGGGAGGCAGCAGUGGGGAAUAUUGCACAAUGGGCGGAGGCCUGAUGCAGCAACGCCGCGUGCGGGAUGACGGCCUUCGGGUUGUAAACCGCUUUCGCCUGUGACGAAGCGUGAGUGACGGUAAUGGGUAAAGAAGCACCGGCUAACUACGUG
rnacentral:rRNA from 1 species